AUCAGGCGCGUAAAAUAAAACCUCUCGAGUAGAUCUGAGCUUCCAUCCAUCCAUCCAUCUAUACAUCCUUCCAUCCAUUUUCUCCAAACGCUUGUCCAGGGUCGCGGGAGUGCGGAGCCCAUCCAUCCCGGAGGCUUAUAGCCUCACUAGCAUUGAUUUUGACUGAGGAAUGACAAGCACUGUUGCAUGCUGGGAAAACACAGGACACGUAAUGGAGGCGUCUUCCACCAGCAAUCUGUGAUUUACAACCAUGAGCAGCUGGCGGAGAACAACUCCUGUGUGGAGAGGAAGUCAUCUUUGCUUCUGUGGAUUUUGAGUACUUGGCAGCGCCUUGGAGAAGACAAGCAAACAUCCCGAGACACGGGGAAGAUCCCAGGGAAGUAGGCGCUGAAGAGCAAACGUGGAUAGCACACAUCCAUCCAUGUGGGAGAAGCGGGGGUGUGAGGCUAGAUGCAUGCUGGGUUCUUGCUGUCAGCACAGCUGGCAUGCAUGUUCAUGGUGGGGAGAUUAAAGACCCCCCGACUUAUCAUCUGCAGGGCUUGUGGGAAGGAGAGUCAGUGGAGUAGAGACUCUUGUAUGGUUUGUGUUGUGUAAUUCCCUCCUCCCAGUAGUGGCUGUGCCACACUAACUAUAAUACACUGUAAACGACAACCUGCAUCUUCGCCUUCCAAAAGAGGCCACCCUUUGUUGCUGUUUCCUGGGAAAAUGAAAAAUUUGUACAGGAAAUGUGAGGAUGGCAAAAUGUCCAUUCAUUGUCAGCAUUUUCCCCGUUUCAGUAUCAGUGCCUCCUCAACAGGAAUCUCACGUCAAAAUCAUUCUGUUACAUGAUCCCUGGAAGCGUAUGUGUCUGUAAAAUUCACAGCUCCAGAGCCUUUAAGAUAGUGUCUUCCAGGGGGGAAUUUUGCCACUAUCUACAAAGGAAGAAUAUAUCCAUCCAUAUUGUACAAUAGUGUUUCCCAAUCCGGGUCCCCGGGACCCACAGUCGAUCCACAUUUUCGCUCCCUCCAAUCCCCCUACCAGACAGUCCAUAUUUUUGCUAUUGCAAGCUGGGAGGGAGCAAGAAUGUGGACUGUUCGUGGGUCCCCUCGGAGCGGACUGAGAAACACUGUUGGUUUGGGUCAUGAUGAUAGCCUGGCGCCUAUUACAGAUAGAA